GAGGGUACAGCUUAGCGGUAGAGCAUGUGCAUAGCAUGCGCAAGACCCCGGGUUCAACCCCCAGUACCUCCA
rnacentral:tRNA from 1 species